UACGAAGGGGGCUAGCGUUGUUCGGAAUUACUGGGCGUAAAGCGCACGUAGGCGGAUCUUUAAGUCGGGGGUGAAAUCCCGGAGCUCAACUCCGGAACUGCCUUCGAUACUGAGGAUCUUGAGUCCGGGAGAGGUGAGUGGAACUGCGAGUGUAGAGGUGAAAUUCGUAGAUAUUCGCAAGAACACCAGUGGCGAAGGCGGCUCACUGGCCCGGUACUGACGCUGAGGUGCGAAAGCGUGGGGAGCAAACAGG
rnacentral:rRNA from 1 species